GGAGAGGUGGCCGAGUGGCUUAAGGCGCACGCUUGGAAAGCGUGUUAGGGUUCAUAGCCCUACGUGGGUUCGAAUCCCAUCCUCUCCUCCA
rnacentral:tRNA from 1 species